AGUGAACGCUGGCGGUAGGCCUAACACAUGCAAGUCGAACGGCAGCACAGUAAGAGCUUGCUCUUACGGGUGGCGAGUGGCGGACGGGUGAGGAAUGCAUCGGAAUCUACUUUUUCGUGGGGGAUAACGUAGGGAAACUUACGCUAAUACCACAUACGACCUACGGGUGAAAGCAGGGGAUCUUCGGACCUUGCGCGAUUGAAUGAGCCGAUGUCGGAUUAGCUAGUUGGCGGGGUAAAGGCCCACCAAGGCGACGAUCCGUAGCUGGUCUGAGAGGAUGAUCAGCCACACUGGAACUGAGACACGGUCCAGACUCCUACGGGAGGCAGCAGUGGGGAAUAUUGGACAAUGGGCGCAAGCCUGAUCCAGCCAUACCGCGUGGGUGAAGAAGGCCUUCGGGUUGUAAAGCCCUUUUGUUGGGAAAGAAAAGCAGCAGGUUAAUACCCCGCUGUCCUGACGGUACCCAAAGAAUAAGCACCGGCUAACUUCGUG
rnacentral:rRNA from 1 species